UGGAAAGAUGAAUCAAAGAAGGUAAUAAUCCUGUAGUCGAAAAUGUUGUCUCUCUUGAGUGGAUCCUGAGUACGACGGAGCACGUGAAAUUCCGUCGGAAUCUGGGAGGACCAUCUCCUAAGGCUAAAUACUCUCUAGUGACCGAUAGUGAACCAGUACCGUGAGGGAAAGGUGAAAAGCACCCCGGAAGGGGAGUGAAAUAGAACCUGAAACCGUGUGCUUACAAGUAGUCAGAGCCCGUUAAUGGGUGAUGGCGUGCCUUUUGUAGAAUGAACCGGCGAGUUACGAUUUGAUGCAAGGUUAAGCAGUAAAUGUGGAGCCGUAGCGAAAGCGAGUCUGAAUAGGGCGUUUAGUAUUUGGUCGUAGACCCGAAACCAGGUGAUCUACCCUUGGUCAGGUUGAAGUUCAGGUAACACUGAAUGGAGGACCGAACCGACUUACGUUGAAAAGUGAGCGGAUGAACUGAGGGUAGCGGAGAAAUUCCAAUCGAACCUGGAGAUAGCUGGUUCUCUCCGAAAUAGCUUUAGGGCUAGCCUCAAGUGAUGAUUAUUGGAGGUAGAGCACUGUUUGGACGAGGGGCCCCUCUCGGGUUACCGAAUUCAGACAAACUCCGAAUGCCAAUUAAUUUAACUUGGGAGUCAGAACAUGGGUGAUAAGGUCCGUGUUCGAAAGGGAAACAGCCCAGACCACCAGCUAAGGUCCCAAAAUAUAUGUUAAGUGGAAAAGGAUGUGGCGUUGCCCAGACAACUAGGAUGUUGGCUUAGAAGCAGCCAUCAUUUAAAGAGUGCGUAAUAGCUCACUAGUCGAGUGACACUGCGCCGAAAAUGUACCGGGGCUAAACAUAUUACCGAAGCUGUGGAUUGUCCUUUGGACAAUGGUAGGAGAGCGUUCU
rnacentral:rRNA from 1 species